AUAUUUUCUCCUUUAAUCCAUUAUGGUGGUAAUUCUACAAAGUAGUAUUUUAAAUGUUUAAUCACUCUUGAAUACUUUGGAUAAGCUUAUAUGAUCAUGCUUUUUUUACAUUGCUGUGUUAGUUUGCUAUUUUGUUCAUGAGCUCAUAUUUUGUAUAUAUAUCUGUGUCCAUGAUUGAAAUCAGUAUAUAAUUUUCCUUUGUUGUACUGCCCUUGUCUGGUUUUGGAAUCAAGGUUAUGCUGGUUUGAUCAAAAGUUGGCUGGGGCUGCAAAUUAUACUGACAAAAGACAAAUUAACAAGAGAAAAACAAAGUUUUUCUUUUCUUUUCUUCAAAGUUUAUGCAUGGCACAUACAUAAGGAGAGCUCAGUGAUGAGUAACUCAAAGAGGUAGUUAGAACUUGGGGUUACAUAGCAUCUUAGCAAAGAAUAGAAAUUUUUUAGAGAAGUGACAAGACAAAGGAAAAGGACAUUGAGCUUCUAGGGGUAGCAAGUGUGGGAACACAAAUAUAUGGAGAAACUAGGUAGAUAAAGGCUAGUUAGCAAGGUUUGUUUGUGUUGACUCUCAGUGCCAUCCUUUCUCCAGUGAUGAGGCUUUUUAUCUCCUUCCUGGUAAGGGAAGUGGUUGGGGGACACUUUCACAAGGGUAGAGGAAAGGUGGAUGUGGGGAGGGAGGCUGAGAACUUCUGUGUCUGCUUUUUCUCAACUGCCUUCAGUGUGAAAUAGUUCUUAUGCCAGGGUAGCAUACUCUGAACCCCUUCGUUAGAAUUAACUAAAAGCAUAGCAUAUAAUUCUUUGGUACCACUUACCAGAGAAAGAAAGGGAAAGUAUAGGAAUGAAGAGAUCUGGCGGCGGCAGUGGCUGGCAGGGUGGUGAUGGAGGUGGGAGGCAGAUGAAGAUGGAAUGGAGGACUGAGUAUGUGUAAGUCAUUGAUAGCAGUAAAAGUGACUAUUGUCCCCAAAGCUUUCUUGUCGAAUGCCUGUGAAUUUCGAGGGUGGGAAUAACACACUCAUGGUUAUCAUAUGAAACCUAUUUGUGGCAAGAUAGUAGAAAUAAAACAAACUGUGUAAUCUGUCCACGAUCUUGAGAAUUUACCAACACUUGGGAAAAAAUAGCAAGUGCUUAAAGAGAAGAAUAUCAGUGUAAAGGAGCAUGGACUACAAGUCUGUUAAGUGGUACAGGCAGUAAUUACAACCAUUAAACCACUCAGAAGAAUGGUUUAUCUCCAGGGUUAUAAAGGUAAAGCUUUAUGUGGGAACCAGCAUGUACUUUGGCAUUAAGAGAAGGGAAGGAGAACAGAAAGUAAAUAGAAAGAGUUUAAUAAGAAGGAGACAGAGCAGGCAUUUUAAACUGAGGAAAUUAUAUGCAAAAGUACAGGGGUGGAGUUGGGAAGGGACACCAGUGUUGAAGUAUUCCUGUUACUUGUUGGUAUCAUCAUUCACCCUAUCAGCUGGUAGGAGAGCACCAGAAACCCAAGUCUUCUUAGACUCCUCCUCCCCAUUAACUCAAAGGUAAUAUCCAGAAGAAACAAAGAACAUUUGUGGAAGGAGAGUAAGAGUCAUGACUCAGUUUUGAUCCUAAGUGACCAGAAUAAUAGAUUUUAAAAAUAUAUGGGUAGGGAGGUAGUUUGAAGGAGACAAUAAUGAAGAGAGAGACCCUUUCCUUUAAAAUAGGAAUAAAGAAGCAAAAGGUAGGUGAAUAUACCAAGAACUUCCAAUUAAAAGAUGAGGGAACUUGUAGUAAUCUCCCUUCUGUGUGUUAGAGAAUGCGGCUAUGUAGCUUUGUACCUUGAGGGACUUAACAAGGGUUAAUUAUAAUCAACUGUUGAAACACACUGUUCUAAACGCAGUAUUAUUCACUUGCCACCUAUUUUGGGAGUUCAUGUAUAAGCAUAUAAAAUUACCAUUAGACUGUUUCAAAGUGGUAGACCUUAUUUUAAAGUAAGAGCAUUUAUUUUACAUGUUUAAAAUAAGGGAUAUGUAAAUCUUUCCUUUCUCCCUACUCACCUCUGUUCACCACAGGCAGUCAUUGUUGACAUCAUCUUGUGCUUCAUUCUAGAAAAAUUUGGCAUAUAUGUAUAUAAUAUUACACGUUAUGUGUUACAAGUAUAUAUUAACAUACAUAUCUUGAUAAUGUAUUUAUACUAUGUAUCUUGAAACAAUUUCAUUUACAUCUUUUAAUUAUGUGAAAUCUUUUCUCUUUUCCUUUGGCCUCUGGCCCCAUUUCCUUUAUAUAGGGAAGUAUACUAUGGGGAUAUAAAUUCCAAAUACCUGUUUUGUUUGUCUAUCCAAUUUUCUAUUUCAUUGCAUUCACAUUGGAUUAAAGUUGCUUAAAAUAGCAAAACAUUUUCCUUUUUUAUUUAAAAUUUUUUGUCUUAAAAAGCAUGAGGAGAAGGCAUGGAAAUAUUAGUCACAUUUCUUGGUAUUCAAUAUUCCUGUGAGUAGUGUUUAUUAAAAGCUCAUCUUUCUUGCUUGGCAUAUCCGUACAGUUUCCUCCCACUAGAGGGCACUAGGAUAUUGUUUGUUUUUAGUGGUCUGUUUAUGAUGAACUUAGCAUUAAUUUUCAUAUGUUUUCUUAUUUGUCCUGCAUUAUAAUAGGAAUUAAAUUGUCAUGCUGAUGUCACUUUGUUAGCGAUAUAUGGACAAUUAAGGCACCUUCCCUGCUAUCAAUUAUGACUUCGAAGACUAUUUUGUGCUUAAUACUUAAGAAGAAAGGGAGAGGGGGAGCUUAGAGCAAUGGGAAGUUCCAGAAAUAGACCUCUACCUAUAGAAUGAACUGGAUUUUGAAAAAGAAGCCAAGAUAAUUCUGUGGGGAAAAAUUUUUCUUUCCAACAAAUGGUGCUGGAACAACUAAAUACUGUUUGGGGGCAAAGUGAACUUUGUUUCUGAUCUCAUUCCAAGUAUAGAAGUUAACUCAAAAUGGAUCAUAGACUAUAGAAAAAAACAAAGGAGAAAAUCUUCAUGACCUUGGGGUAGGCAAAACUUUCUUUGCACACAAAAAAUACUCUAAAAGAAAAUGUUUUGAUAGAGUUCUCCAAAAUUAGAAACUUCUAUUCAAAAGACACAGGUAAGUAAAUAAAAAGGCAAGCACAGACUGGGAGAAAAUAUUCACAAUACAUAUACAGAAAAAUGACUGGUAUUUAGAAUUCAUAUAAAGGAAUCUAAAACUCAGUAAUAAGAUAAUCUAGUUUCUUAAAUGGAGGAAUGAUUUGAACAGACAUAGCACAGUACAUACUAUAUGAAUGCUAAUAAGCAUAUAAGAUACUCAACACCACGAGAGAAGUGCAAAUUAAAACCACAGUGAGAUACUGCACACCUGCUAGAAUGGCUAAAAUUAAAAAGAGUGACAAUAGCUACUACUGAUGAGGGUGUGGGACAGUUGUAAUGAUCAUGCAUUGCUGGUGUGAAACAGUUUAUUAUAAAUUUAAUAUAUUCUUACCAGGUGACCCAGCAAUUUCACCCUUACCUAUGCAUUUACCCAAGAAAAUGAAGCCCAUUGUUCACAUGAAGACCUAUACACAAGUGUCCAUGACAGUUUGAUUCAUAAUGGCCCCAAAGUGGAAACAACACCACAUGUCCAUCAAUAAAUGAAUGGAUAAAUAAAGUAUGGUACACCCAUGUAAUGUGCUAUUCAGCAGUAAAAAAGAAUGAACUACUCAUAUAACAGUAUGGAUGAAUCUCAAAAACAUUAAAUGAAAGAAGCUAGAUAUAAAAGAGUAUUUUAUGAUUCCAUAUGAUUUGUAUGACGUUCCAUAAAAGGCAAAUCUAUCUAUAGUAACAGAACAGAUCAGUGGUUGCCUCGGGUUGUGAUAGUAGUGAGAUGAGUCAGCAACAAAAGAGAAAAUAAACUGAAGUAACCAAAAAUUAUAAGUGUUAUGAAGGAAACAAAGCAGGUGGCAGUAUGUAUAAAGGCCCUAAGUUGGAAAAGAAGACUGUUGAUGGAGUAUAGUGAACAAAGGAGUGAGUGGUGGGAGAGCUAAAUAAGCUACCAGGUCAUGCGGAAAGAGUCCUUAAAAGGGGCAGGAAGCGGGGAGGAAAAAAAAGAGUUCUUACUAACUUGACAGGGAACAGACUGUAGCUCAAAUAGAAAUCCUUCCUUCAGCUGGGCAUGGUGGCUCACACCUGUAAUCCCAGCACUUUGGGAGGCCGAGGCGGGUGGAUCACCUGAGGUCAGGAGUUCGAGACUAUCCUGGCUAACAUGGUGAAACCCCAUCUCUACUAAAAAUACGAAAAUUAGCCAGGCAUGGUGACAGGUGCCUGUAAUCCCAGCUACUCGGGAGGUUGAGGCAGGAAAAUCACUUGAACCCAGGAGGCAGAGGUUACAGUGAGCCGAGAUCAUGCCACUGCACUCCAGCCUGGGCCACAGAAAAAAGAAAAGAAAAAUUCUGCCUUCAGUGGGAGAGGGUAAGAAGGAAGCUGUGCAUAUGAGGUUUGCCUGGUGAUUGGAAAGGGAGAGAGUUUACAUCAGACAUUUUUCUGUUUUCUUACAUUUAUUUUCUUUUUUAUAUAUAAAGUAAGUCUGCCACCUGAAGGUGAAGAAGUUGAGGGGACAAACAUACAGUAUUCUUUUUGGGAGAGGAUAGGGGAGUAUGUGCCUACUAAAGAAACUUUGUAAGAUGACUGAAGAACUAUCGAUGCUCAUUAGAUGUUUAGGAAGGUGAUUUUAAUAUGAAACCUGUCAGCUUAGUCACACAUGGUUUUUCUCUUGCAACAUGUAACUGCUUGGGCCCAAACAUGGAAUUAAUUAGUAUAUGUCAUCAGAAUUUAGGUUUUGCCUGGCAAAAAUAAUGAAGAGAGUGAAGGUGUUGUUGUGGUUGGCUUGCUUUAGUCUAGACCGUUGAUGACUGAGUGAAGGUGUUUCUAGAGUCACAUUAUCAAGAUGGACAGGAAAUCUAGGCUAGAAAAGAAGGAAAAUGAAACUGGGAAAGAGUUCAUGAAUAGGAAGACAAUGAUAGGAUCAUUGGCUGGAGAACACAGAAUUAUAUACUGGGGCCAUUUCUGCAAAUGAAGUGGUAGGAUAGGAUGAAGUGAUCUCAGAGUGACUUCCAGGUUUCCGAAAUAGAGGCUCAAUUAUUGACAUAGGUAAUCCUAGAGGAGGAAGAGCAGGUUUGGGGGGGUAAGAUGAUGAGUUCAGUUUUGGACAGGCUGUGUUUGAGGAACCUGUGGGAUGUAUAAGUGGAGAUGUCCAAUGAGCAAUUAAGUAUAUAGAUCUGAGAGAUCUGGGCUGUCUAAGUAGAGAUUUAGCAGUUAUCAGCAUAUAGAUGAUAACUGAAACAUGGUAACAGAAAAGAUUAUCAGAGAGGAUUUGUGGGAUAAGAGAAGGUAAGGGUGUGUAAUUUCCUUUUUCUACAACCAGAGUGGUUGUGGUGGUGGUUGGUAUUUGGUUUUGUUCCUUUUCCUUCAGUAUUGUGUCUCCUUUUUCAAAUAAAUCCUAGGAAAUACAACAUGGAAUGAUGGUAAGAGCAGAGUUAAAGUCCUGUCUUUGCUGUUUCCUACUAUGUGCCUUGAGUAGUUAAACUUCUCAGAGCCUCAGUUUUUUCAACUGUUAAAAACAGUGGUAUCAAAAGAAUGAGAAGACAAACCACAGACGGAGAGAAAAUAUUUGCAUAAGACCUAUAUGAUAAAGGACUGUUAUCCAAACUAUGAAAAGAGCUCUUAAUAAUAAGGACACAAACAACCUGAUUAAAAAGUGGGCAAAAGACAUGGAUAGAAAACUCACCAAAGAAGAUAUAUAGAUGUCAAAUAAGCAUCUAAAAAGAUGCUCAACAUCAUAUGUCAUUAGGGAAGUGCAAAUUAAAAUCAUUUGAAAUACCACUACUCAUCUAUUAAAAUGCCAAAAUUCAGAACACUGAUAACACCAAGUUAUCAACACCUAAUGAGGAUGUGGAGCAAAAGGAACUGAUUCGUUGGUGGGUAUGCAAUAUUAUACAGCUACUUAAAGACAGUUUGGUAGUUUCCUAGAAAACUAAACAUAUUCUUACCAUACAAUCCAGCAAUUCCAUUCCUUGGUAUUUACCUAAAGGAAUUGAAAACUUAUAUCCACACAAAAACCUGCUCACAGGUGUUUAUAGCAGCUUUAUUUAUAAUUGCCGAAAUUUGGAAGCAAUUUUAAAGAUGUUCUUCAGUAGGUGAGUGGGUAAAUAAACUGUGGUACAUCCAGACAAUGGAAUAUUAUUCAGUGCUAAAAAGAAAUUAGUGAUCAAGCUGUGAAAACAUAUGAUAGAAGCUGAAAUGCAUAUUACUAAGUGAAGUAAGCCAACCUGAAAAGGCUACAUACUGUAUGAUUCCAAAUAUGUGACCUUCUGGUAGAGGAAAAAUAUGGAGACAGUGAAACGAUCAGUGGUUGCCAGGGGCUGGGAGAAGGGAAGGAUAAAUAGGCAAAGCACAGAUUUUUAGGGCCGUGAAAUCAUCCUGUAUAAUGCUACAAUGAUGGGUACACAUCAUUAUACAUUUGUCUAAACUCAUAGAAUGUAUAACACCAAGAGGGAACCCAAAUGUAAACUGUGGACUUUGGGUGAUAAAGAUGCGUCAGUGUAGGCUUAUUGAUUAACUGUAACAGAUGUACCACUCUGGUGCAGGUUGUUGACAGUGGGGGAAACUAUGUCUUUGACGGGCAGAGGGUAUAUGGGAACUCUCUUUCUCCUCAAUUUUGCUGUGAACCUAAAACUGCUCUUUAAACGUCUAUUUUUAAAAACAGAACAGCUGUGAUAUGAAACUGCAUGGAGACAGGUCAAAUAACUAAGGACUACUGGUCUAAAUUCAGAAUCACCCUCAGCUGUAUAGGUAUUUAUGUGUUCACUUGUGGCUUAGCUUACUGCUGCUUAAUGGGAAAGUUUUGCUUCCCUUCCUCACCUCUGUUUUUUGUUUUUUUGGUUUUUUUCUUUACAGUGAUAGUGAACAAUUACAGUCCUUGGAAAGACUGAAUUAUAGCUUAAUGAAUGUACAGAUACAAAUGUCUGGAUGUUUAUAUUGCCAGGGGUAGAAAUGACGAGGGAAAACAUGCAACCCCCACAAUUAAAAGGCGUUUAUUUCACUAUUCUAAGGAAUAUUUGAAUCUCCUUUCAGUUGUAUCCCUUACCUUGUUUACUUUACACCCAAGUGGCAUUUCAUACUUGAAAGCUUUUCAGAUAGAUAUUACAGUACCAAUCUACUUUGGGUACCAGGACCUCCUUCCCCUGUGGAUUCCAAAACAAUUUCUGAAAAUAUGGGAGAAGGAUCUUCAGUUAUACCCACGUAUACAAAAUAGCAUAUGUCUGGAUUAAAGAUACAUCUGGAAAUUUAUCCUACAGAUAUUCUCACACAUGUAGAAUAUUCACUACAGCAUUAUACAUUCAUAUGUAGAAUGCAUUACAUUCACAUGUAGAAGGAUAUUCACUACAGCAUUGUAUCAUGGUGAUAAACAAAUAGCACAAGGUAGGAGCAAUCUAAAUGUCCGUUGGCAGGGAACUGGUUAAAUAAAUAUUGGUAUAUCUAUAAAAUAGAACAAUGUGCAGAAGUUAAAAAGAGUGAGGCAACUCUGUAUAUGGAUAGUGAAAGUCUUCAAGAUAAUGUUGAGGGGGAAAACUGGAUGCAGAACUACAUGUAUGAUAUGCUACCAUCUGUGUAGAAAAAGAAACAAUAACCCCCCCCCCACACACACACAUACAUGCUUUUAUGAAAAGAAUGUCUCUACAAGAAUGCACAAGUAAGAUUUCUCUCUAGAGAGGAUAUUCAGGUGCUGAAGGAAAAGGGUAGAGACUUUUCACCAUAUACUCUUUAUAUCUCUUGAACUUUGUGCCAUAGUUAAAAACAAAUGAAGAAAUAAAAUUCAGAUUUUAGAAACCUAUCUUAUGGGAUUAUCAUGAGGAUUAAAUGAGUCAUGUAUAUAAUCUAAUGCAUUGUCUGGCAUGUAGUUAAGUAUAUAAUACUUACUAAAUAUGAUACUUACUAGCCGUUGUUUGUCCCUUCCCCUCCAGUUCCAUAAUUGCUGUUUGGAGGGUUCACAGGAUUUAUUUUCUUCACCUAGGCCAAGGAUUGUUAACCUGAAUGGAUCAAUGAACCUUUGAAAUUGCAAAUUUUGUAUAAGCAUAUGCUUAUUCCAGACUUUCCAGAUUCUAGAGAGAAGAGGGUCUGUGACUUUAAUCAGAUUUGCUAAGGAAGGGAAGGUCCCAUGGCCCUAAAAAGUUAAAACACACUAACCUAAGCUGUUUUGCUAUUUUAUGUUUCUUUCCACCAGAAAAUACUCUGCUGUCAGAUCGUUUUCUCUUUACAGCUAGGAAGAGACUCUGGCUGACUUUUAUUCCUCACAACUUUUAUCUUUUCUAAAUAUAUCAUGUCUAGGCAAGUAAUUUAAACUUUCUAGGUCUCAACUUCUUAACUGUAAAAAGAAGUGAUUGAUCUGGACAAAUUCAAAGGUUCCCUUCAUCUUGAAAAUGUUUUGAUUCUAUCUAGGUUUACUCUGUAUGGGCUUUAAAAAUUAGAAAUAUUGUCAUAAACCAAGAAAAACCCUUAUGCUAAGAAUAAUCUUUAGGUAGAGACCUAAAUCUUGACUGAGGGAUAAAAUUGGAGGUUUGUAUAUACAAAUAUAAGAACUUAUGUCAGGCCGGGCAUGGUGGCUUAUGUCUGUAAUCCCAGCACUUGGGAAGGCUGAGGCGAGAGAAUCACCUGAGGUCAGUUCGAGACUAGCCUGGCCAACAUGGUGAAACCCCAUCUCUACCAAAAAAAAAAAAAAAAAAAACCCACAAAAAUUAGCCAGGCGUGGUGGCACAUGCCUGUAAUCCCAGCUACUCAGGAGGCUGAGUGAGGCAGGAGAAUUGCUUGAACCCGGGAAGCGGAGGUUGUAGUGAGCUGAGAUGGCAUCAUUGCAUUCCAGCCUGGGCAACAAUGCAAGACUCUGUUUCAAAAAAAAAAAAAAAAAAAAAGCGUAUGCCAACCUGAUUCCAUAUAGAACAGCCAUGGUUUAUUUUCACAUUAGCAAUAAAGCUACCUUACUAAAGAGAUAGGGCUAUGUAAGAUGCCCUGGUAGUCCUGUUGACAUCUCUGUAAAACCUCUCCCAUCUCAAGGUCUUUUCUCUGCUUUGUUUUGGGAAAAGGGGAGAAUAGUAGAACCAGUGAGUUGUAGUUCUACACUAAUAAAAAAUGCCUCUAUCAAUAUUGAUCAUUAUCUGUUACUUGAUUGAAGUCCAGAUCAUAGUUCUUAUUUAUGAAAAACCAAUCUGCAUACUUUAACUCAGAUGUACAUUUAGUUAUUCAUAUUAUUGUACAACUCAAUUACUCAGAAACAUUUGUCCCAAAUUUAUACUGUGGUCAUUUUUGCCUAUUGCUUCAAAAGGCUUUAUAGAAGAUGGGAUUCUUGACUUACAAGGCAGUUCAGGGUUAAUCCAUUCAACAAGCAUGUGAAGAUAAGGGCAUUUCAGAUAAAGCAUGCAGAGGUACCUGGAUUCAGGUUUUAGCUCUGUGUCUUAUGAGCUCUGAUCUUGGGUCAGUCACUUAUCCUGUCCAUACUUGUUUCCUCAGUUGUGAAAUGGUGAUAAUAAAAGCACCUACUGUAUAGCAUUAUAAGGAUUAAAUGAGAUAAUACAUGCCAAAGCAACAUAGUAUUUGGAAUGUAGAAAGCAUUCAAUAAAUGUAGUCUUUUUUUUUUUUUUUGGAGAUGGAGUCUCACUUUUGUCACAUGGGCUGGAGUGCAAUGGCGUGGUCUCAGCUUACUGCAACCUCUGCCUCCCGGGUUCAAGGGAUUCUUUCACCUCAGCCUCUCAAGUGGCUGGGACUACAGGUGCAUUGUGCCACCAUACCUGACUAAUUUUUGUAUUUUUAGUAGAGACAGGGUUUCACUAUGUUGGCCAGGCUGGUCUCGAACUCCUGACCUUGUGAUCCUCCUGCCUCGGCCUUCCAAAGUGCUGGGAUUACAGGUGUGAGCCAUUGCACCCAGCCUCCUUCAUUUUCUUUUUCUUUCUUUCUUUCUUUUUUUUUUUUUUUUUAUCUUUUAGGGAUGGAGUUUUGCUCUGUUACUCAGGCUCUCAGCUCACUGCAAUCUCUGUAUCCCAGGUUCAAGUGCUUCUCCUGCCUCAGCUUCCUGAGUAGCUGGGAUUAGAGGCUCCCGCCAUGAUGCCCCGCUAAUUUUUGUAUAUUUAGUAGAGACAGGGUUUCACCAUGUUGACCAGGCUGGUCUUGAACUUCUGACCUCAGGUGAUCCACCCUCCUCGGCCUCCCAAAGUGCUGGGAUUACAGGCGUGAGCCACCGCGCCCGGCCCCGGCCUAAUUUCUUUUUUAAAAGCAAACAAUUCAUCCUUAAGUAUUAGAAAUAGCAUAAAUUUUAUUUUAUUCUAGAAUAUUAUUAAAUUCUAAAAUAGCAGUUUUAAAUAAUUUUAAAUUUAUGAAAGUUGAAAAAAGUUUUGAAUUUUAUUUUAAAACAAGUCAAAGAUAUAUACUUAUUUUUGGUGUUUCCGCAUAGGCAUAAGGAACACUUUUGGAUUUUAAAAAUAACAACUUAUUGGAUGAUAGUGAAGUUACAGAGAUUAUAGUAGGUAUACCUGGAGAUACCAGCAGGAACAUAGUAGAAAUAAUAAGCCAAAAACACUUUUAUUUAUACUGUAACCAAUCUCCUUGGAAAACUUUAGAAAACACAAAAAUAUACAAGCAUACAUUCCAUUUAUUCAGCCUGAUGACGUCAUCACACAUACAGCCUCUGGAAAACCCCACUCUACACUCAAGAGAGAAUGAAAAGUGAAAAAGACAAAGGACAUUUUAGUAUUAUGAAAAUGCUUUUGACCUCAAAAGCCCCUGAAUCAAAGGGAAAGGUGAAAAGGAAAUCGCCAUUGGCAAUGGUAGAGGCUAUGGAAGAUUGGGUCUUGCAAAAUUUAUUAGAAGACGUUUCUGAAGAGAAGACCUUCUGAGGCACCCCUUUGCAGAGAGACCAUGGUUAUUCAGGUUUGGGCAUCUGGCAGAUAUUUUCUUGAAAAUGAACGAAGUGAGCCUGUCUCAAGGAAACUGACAGUAUUUGUUGUCAAUGAUAAAAUUCAAGCUUUCAAAUGGAAAUUAGAAUUUUGGAAAACCCAAACCCGCCACCAUGAGCUUGACAGCUUCCAGUCAAGCUGUCCCCGGUGUAGACCUCGUAUUUGAGCUCCAGACUCUCACUCUACCUAUCUAUAUAUAUACUGUGUCCACAUAAAUGUUUCAUAUUCUAAAUUUAA